rnacentral:rRNA from 1 species
CAGUAGCCGCGGUAAUACGAAGGGUGCAAGCGUUACUCGGAAUUACUGGGCGUAAAGCGUGCGUAGGUGGUGGUUUAAGUCCGUUGUGAAAGCCCUGGGCUCAACCUGGGAAUUGCAGUGGAUACUGGGUCACUAGAGUGUGGUAGAGGAUAGUGGAAUUUCCGGUGUAGCAGUGAAAUGCGUAGAGAUCGGAAGGAACAUCUGUGGCGAAGGCGACUAUCUGGGCCAACACUGACACUGAGGCACGAAAGCGUGGGGAGCAAACAGGAUUAGAGACCCCCGUAGUCCCUGUCUCUUAUAA